GGGACACGCCCGCGCAGCUCCAUACUUCUUUACAUUCCAUAUGAUUAUAAGCACUAUGGGAAGUAAGGAAGCACGGAACUCGCGCAAGGCCUUUUCUUC
rnacentral:pre_miRNA from 1 species